CCUANGGGUGGCUGCAGUCGGGAAUCUUGGACAAUGGGGGAAACCCUGAUCCAGCCACGCCGCGUGGGUGAUGGAGGCCUUCGGGUCGUAAAGCCCUGUCAGAGGGGAAGAAACGGUCUUUUGCUAAUACCAACGGAUCUUGACGGUACCCUCAGAGGAAGCACCGGCUAACUACGUGCCAGCAGCCGCGGUAAUACGUAGGGUGCAAGCGUUGCUCGGAAUCACUGGGCGUAAAGGACGCGUAGGCGGUUCAGUAAGCGAGAUGUGAAAGCCCCUGGCUCAACCAGGGAAGUGCAUUUCGAACUGCUGGACUUGAGUCCGAGAGAGGGUGGUGGAAUUCCCGGUGGAACGGUGAAAUGUGUAGAUAUCGGGAGGAACAUCGGCGGCGAAGGCGGCCGCCUGGCUCGGUACUGACGCUGAGGCGUGAAAGCGUGGGUAGCAAACAGGAUUAGAUACCCGGNUANUC
rnacentral:rRNA from 1 species